GUAAGUAUAUCUAGUAAUAAGUGAAACCGCGAAUGGCUCAUUAAAUCAGUUAUCAUCUACUUGGUUGUCAAUUGAAAAAGGAUAACUGCGGUAACCCUGCAGCUAAUACUUGCGAAUCGCGUUUUACCUUCGGGGAAGCGUUACUUUUAUUAGAGAACUUGUUACCGGCGGAGAAUCCCGGCUGCCCUUGUGGUGAGCUCUGAAUAACUGAAGGAUGCCUAUAGCCCUCGGGCUGGGCACGAACCAUACGAGUAUCUGACCUAUCAACUUCUGACGGUAGUGUAACGGACUACCGUGGUUGUAACGGGUAACGGGGAAUCAGGGUUCGAUUCCGGAGAGGGAGCCUGAGAAACGGCUACCACACCCACGGGAGGCAGCAGGCGCGCAAAUUACCCAAUCUCGGCACGAGGAGGUAGUGACGAAAAAUAACAAUAUGAGCCUUUACGGGUUUGUGAUUGGAAUGAGAGAAAUUUAACAACUUUCAUUCGAGGAUCUAGUGGAGGGCAAGUCUGGUGCCAGCAGCCGCGGUAAUACCAGCAUCCACAAGCGUAUGCAAAAGUUGCUGCGUUUAAAAAGCUCGUAGUUGGAUCUGUCGAUGGUGUUGCGUCUAACCGCCGGGUUCGUUUGAGAGUGCGGGUGACACUAUCUUCUUCCCGUUGAGAGUGUUUGCACUUAACUGUGUCGAAUGCUCGAGACGGAUACUUAUUUUGAAUAAAUUAGAGUGUUCAAAGCGACCUUUGGGAAUGAAUAAUAAAGCAUGUGAUUGAGGAGGAAGACCCACCGUUGUACGGAAGGUUUGCAGCGGAUGGUAAUGAUUGAAAGGAACAGUCGGGGGCAUUUGUAUUGCUACGUUAGAGGUGAAAUUCUUGGAUCGUGGCAAGACAAACUACAGCGAAAGCAUUUGCCAAGAAUGUUUUCAUUAAUCAAGAACGAAAGUUAGAGUAUUGAAGAGGAUUAGAUACCCUCGUAAUUCUAACCAUAAACGAUACCACCUUACGAUUUGUCAAAGUCCUGCUCGACUUGACAAGGAGUUAUCCGGGAAACCAAAGCUAAUUGGUUACGGGGGAAGUAUGGUUGCAAAAUCGAAACUUAAAGGAAUUGACGGAAGGGCACCACCAGGAGUGGAGCCUGCGGCUUAAUUUGACUCAACACGGGGAAACUCACCAGGUCCAGACAUUGUAAGGAUUGACAGAUUGAAUAUCUUUCAUGAUUCCAUGGGUGGUGGUGCAUGGCCGUUCUUAGUUAGUGGAGUGAUCUGUCUGGUUAAUUCCGAUAACGAACGAGAUCCUAGCCAUUUAAAUAGUUAGAGGCACAUAUUGUGUUUCUAUACUUCUUAGAGGAACAAUGCGGAACAACUACCGCAGGGAAGUGGGGCCAUAACAGGUCUGUGAUGCCCUUAGAUGUCCUGGGCUGCACGCGCGCUACACUGAAAGUUACGGAUUGAGAUUCUACCUUGUCCGAAAUGGUCCGGGUAAUCACCUAAAAGCUUGUCAUAAUUGGAAUGGAUUAUUGUAACUAGUAAUCCUGAACGAGGAAUUCCUAGUAAGUCCCAGUCAACAGCUGGUACUGAUUACGUCCCUGCCCUUUGUACACACCGCCCGUCGCUACUACUGAUUGGACGUUUAAGCAAGAUCUUUGAACAAAAACAGUAUUUAUUUACUGUAAAACGUAAUGGCACAGUUCGAAGAAGAAGAUCGAGCUUACUGUCUAG
rnacentral:rRNA from 1 species